rnacentral:rRNA from 1 species
UAUAAUUAUAAUUAUAAAUAUUCAUAAAAAUAAAAUUAUUUUUAAUAUUUAAUCCUUUCGUACUAAAAUAUUAUUAUUAUUUAAAGAUAGAAACCAACCUGGCUUACACCGGUUUGAACUCAGAUCAUGUAAGAUUUUAAUGAUCGAACAGAUCAAAAUUUUAAACUUUUGCAUUUAAAUUUUAUCUUAAUCCAACAUCGAGGUCGCAAACUUUUUCUCCUAUUUGAACUAAAAGAAAAAAUUACGCUGUUAUCCCUAAGGUAAUUUUUUCUUUUAAUCAUUAUAAAUGGAUCAUAUAAUCAUAAAUUAAUGUUAAAAUAGUAAAAAAGUUAAUUUAAUUUUUUUAUCCCCCCAAUAAAAUAUUUUUAUUUAUUUUAAUUUAAAAAUUUAAAUAUAAAUAAUAAUAAAAUAAAAUAUAAAACUCUAUAGGGUCUUCUCGUCUUUUAAAUAUAUUUUAGCUUUUUAACUAAAAAAUUAAAUUUUAUAAUUUAAUUAGAGACAGUUUAUAUUUCAUCCAAUCUUUCAUACAAGCCUCCAAUUAAAAGGCUAAUGAUUAUGCUACCUUUGUACAGUCAAAAUACUGCAGCCCUUUAAUAAUUUAUCAGUGGGCAGAUUAGACUUAAAAUUAUUUUCAUAAAGACAUGUUUUUGAUAAACAAGUGAAUAUAUUUUUGCCGAAUUCCUUUAAUUAAUUUUAAAUAAAUUUUUAUUUAAAUAAAUUUUAUAUACUAAUUUUAUCAUUAUAUCUAAUUUUAUCUUAUUAAAAUAUAUUUUUUUAUAAAAAUUUAAAUUUUUUUUAAAAUUUUAAAUUUAAUUAAAUUAUUUAUAAAAAAUUAUAAUUUAUUUUACAAUUUAAAUCUUAAAAUUUUAACUAUAAAUAAAAUAAAUAUUAUAAAAAUUUAUUUUAAAGCUUAUCCCUUAAAAUAUUUAAUAUUAACAAAUAAAAUUUUAUAUAAUAAAAAAUUUAAAUUUAAUAUUUAAAAUUAAAUUUUUUUCUAAAAAAACUAGAUAUUUUUAAAAACGAUUAACAUUUCAUUUCUAAUUAAUUAUUAAAAAUAAUUAUACCACAUUAACUUUAUUAAUUAAUUAACCCCUUUAAAUUCAAGAAAUUUCCCCCUAGAAAAUAUUAUUAAUAAACUCUGAUACACAAGAUACAAUAAAUCAAAUUUACUUAAAAAUAAAUUAAUUAUUUCUUAUUUCAAAAUUCUUUUACAAUACUAUUACCCUAUAAAUUUUUUUAUUUUUUCUAUAAAUAUACUUUAACCCCCAUUAAAAUAUAUGUAUAUACCAAUAAAAAUUUUUUUAUUAUUUUUUUUUUUAUUAAUUUUUCCCCC